GACAGAGGGUGCAAACGUUGUUCGGAAUUACUGGGCGUAAAGCGCGCGCAGGCGGCCUUUUAAGUCUGACGGUGAAAUGCCGGGGCUCAACCCCGUGCCCGCCGGAGAUACUGGGAGGCUGGAGACGAGUAGAGGCAAGCGGAAUUCCGGGUGUAGCGGUGGAAUGCGUAGAGAUCCGGAAGAACACCGGUGGCGAAGGCGGCCUGCUGGGACAGUGCUGACGCUGAGGCGCGACAGCGUGGGGAGCAAACAGG
rnacentral:rRNA from 1 species